rnacentral:rRNA from 1 species
CAAUAGCGUAUAUUUAAGUUGUUGCAGUUAAAAAGCUCGUAGUUGGAUUUCGGGUGGGUACCGCCGGUCUCCCUUCGGGUAUGUACUGGCGUGGCCCGCCUUGCUGUCGGGGACGGUCUCCUGGGCUUUAUUGUCCGGGAAUCGGAGUCGACGAUGUUACUUUGAGUAAAUUAGAGUGUUCAAAGCAAGCCUACGCUCUGAAUAUAAUAGCAUGGGAUAACACGACAGGACUCUGGCCUAUCGUGUUGGUCUGUAGGACCGGAGUAAUGAUUAAGAGGGACAGUCGGGGGCAUUCGUAUUCCAUUGUCAGAGGUGAAAUUCUUGGAUUUAUGGAAGACGAACAUCUGCGAAAGCAUUUGUCAAGGAUGUUUUCAUUGAUCAAGAACGAAAGUUGGGGGCU